AUGACGCGGGACGGCGUGCCACCGGCGGCGCCUGCCGGCGGCGGUGCGGGGGACGGGCCGAGGCGGUGCUCGCAGUGCGGGCACCACGGGCACAACUCCCGCACGUGCACGGCGCGCCCCGUGAAGCUCUUCGGCGUGCGCAUCGGCGACAAGCCAAUCAGGAAGAGCGUCAGCAUGGGCAACCUCGCGCAGCUCGCGGAGGGUAGCGGCGGUGCCAGGGCCGAGGGGUACGGCUCCGAGGGCGACGAUGACAAACCCCACAGGAAGCGAGGUGAGUCAUGGUCAGAAGAGGAGCACAAAAAUUUUCUACUUGGAUUGAACAAAUUAGGAAAAGGUGAUUGGCGUGGCAUAUCCCGUAAUUAUGUUGUCUCGAGGACACCUACUCAAGUUGCUAGCCAUGCUCAGAAGUAUUUCAUUCGCCAAACAAAUGUUAAUAGGAGAAAGAGAAGAUCAAGCCUCUUCGAUAUGGUUAUUGAGGAUCCUGGUGACCAGCCACUCUCCCGUUCAUCGUCACAAGAGAUGCCGCUCUCCCGUUCAUCUUCACAAGAUGUAGAAGAGUUCGUAGAUGAUCUACGGCCUGUUACUGCUCCUGUGACACCACCCGCUCCUAUGCCCGUGAUAGCAUCUGUUUCCGUCCCACCACCAGUGCCAGUAAUGGCACCACCUGCUCCUGUGCCUAUGCUAACAUAUGGAUCAGCCCCAUCGCCAGUUCUAGCAAUGGCACAUCAACCUCAGGGCAAUGAAUCGGCUGGUUCAAGUUCAAUUGCUGGAGAAGCAGGGAUGGUGAUGCCACAAGUGAUGCCCCCAUAUGGUUAUCCUCCUCCAAUGAUGAUUCCUACACCUCACUAUGUCCAAGCAGUUUUUCCGUUUCCAUACUAUGGCUAUGCUCCAAUGUUCUAUGGGCCACCAGUCUCUAUGCAAGCAUCAUCACCAGGUACAGUACAAGCAUCACAUGAGCCUGUCAGGCCUGUUGCCGUGCACUCAGCUCCCCCGGUAAAUGUUGAAGACCUGUACAACAUGUCCAAACUCAACCUGAAGGGUGACUCAAGUACCAACGGUGUUGCGCCUAAAUUGGCGUUGCCUCCAAAUCCAAAUGGGAGACCAGAGAGGCAAUCUGCUUUCCAUGGAAAAGGGCCUGAGAAUGGCUCAUCGAACGGACUAAUCCCGACAAAAUGA
rnacentral:rRNA from 1 species